rnacentral:rRNA from 1 species
CCUACGGGUGGCAGCAGUGAGGAAUAUUGGUCAAUGGGCGCGAGCCUGAACCAGCCAAGUAGCGUGAAGGAUGACUGCCCUAUGGGUUGUAAACUUCUUUUAUAUGGGAAUAAAAUGUUCCACGUGUGGGAUUUUGUAUGUACCAUAUGAAUAAGGAUCGGCUAACUCCGUGCCAGCAGCCGCGGUAAUACGGAGGAUCCGAGCGUUAUCCGGAUUUAUUGGGUUUAAAGGGAGCGUAGGUGGAUUGUUAAGUCAGUUGUGAAAGUUUGCGGCUCAACCGUAAAAUUGCAGUUGAAACUGGCAGUCUUGAGUACAGGAGAGGUGGGCGGAAUUCGUGGUGUAGCGAUGAAAUGCUUAGAUAUCACGAAGAACUCCGAUUGCGAAGGCAGCUCACUGGACUGCAACUGACACUGAGGCUCGAAAGCGUGGGUAUCAAACAGGAUUAGAUACCCUGGUAGUC